UAACACAUGCAAGUCGAGCGAUUUUCUUCGGAAGAGAGCGGCGGACGGGUGAGUAACGCGUGGGUAACCUGCCCUGUACACACGGAUAACAUACCGAAAGGUAUGCUAAUACGGGAUAACAUAAGAAAUUCGCAUGUUUUUCUUAUCAAAGCUCCGGCGGUACAGGAUGGACCCGCGUCUGAUUAGCUAGUUGGUGGGGUAACGGCUCACCAAGGCGACGAUCAGUAGCCGACCUGAGAGGGUGAUCGGCCACAUUGGAACUGAGACACGGUCCAAACUCCUACGGGAGGCAGCAGUGGGGAAUAUUGCACAAUGGGCGAAAGCCUGAUGCAGCAACGCCGCGUGAGCGAUGAAGGCCUUCGGGUCGUAAAGCUCUGUCCUCAAGGAAGAUAAUGACGGUACUUGAGGAGGAAGCCCCGGCUAACUACGUGCCAGCAGCCGCGGUAAUACGUAGGGGGCUAGCGUUAUCCGGAUUUACUGGGCGUAAAGGGUGCGUAGGCGGUCUUUUAAGUCAGGAGUGAAAGGCUACGGCUCAACCGUAGUAAGCUCUUGAAACUGGAGGACUUGAGUGCAGGAGAGGAGAGUGGAAUUCCUAGUGUAGCGGUGAAAUGCGUAGAUAUUAGGAGGAACACCAGUAGCGAAGGCGGCUCUCUGGACUGUAACUGACGCUGAGGCACGAAAGCGUGGGGAGCAAACAGGAUUAGAUACCCUGGUAGUCCACGCCGUAAACGAUGAGUACUAGGUGUCGGGGGUUACCCCCCUCGGUGCCGCAGCUAACGCAUUAAGUACUCCGCCUGGGGAGUACGCUCGCAAGAGUGAAACUCAAAGGAAUUGACGGG
rnacentral:rRNA from 1 species